CACCGCAGCUUCCUUUCAACUUUUACCAAUAAGAAACAUGUCCCCUAUAUAUUGGCACCGCCUGCUCAAUAUCAGGUGUAGUAGGCUAUAAUCUGUUUAAGAAUGAUUCUUAUUGUCUCCUUUUGUUUAUUCUGUGCUCUGUAGGCUAUUCCUCCAAGUCCAGGGAAGAGAGUUCAGUUCUCGAAUCUCAUCUCAUGUAAAGCUCCAAUACAACAAGUGAGUCAAUAAACUAUUGUAUAUUUUAUUUAUUACAAUUUUCAUAAACUGUUAAGUUGUAAAAAAGUAGGAAAAUAAGCAGAGUGCAGUUUAAAGUAUUUGUGUACAAAAUAUAUGUUGUUUAAUAGGUUACCCGUCAUCUUCAGAUCAAGAGCGGGACGCACAGACUCCGCCUUCCACAGUCAUUGGUUUAAAACAGAAAGUGUCAGUGUUUGGUGUGCAGUUCAGACUAAGGUACAGUGCUGUGGUGGUGAAGCUGACAGAUCAAGAACACAAUAUAAGCAGCGGAACGCGGAGGGCUUUCUACAUUCAAGAGCUGUAUAUUGAAACGAAUCUGGAAUGUUUUCGGGAACCGUCUUGAAGAUGAAAUUCUUUCCCGCUGUCUUCGUAUUAAUUUCAGUAGCUGUGUGUGUUGCUGAGUUGAAUUUGGAGGCAGCUGAAGGAGAGAAUAUCAUCAUACCCUUCAAAACUGCUGGACUGGAGAGAGCCGAUCAAGUGAAGAUAACUUUGACAAGAGGAAGUCAGAAAAAACUGAUUGCGCAGUACUGUCGCUGUGUCCAUCGUGGAGACUGUAGUGUUGUGGAAACAUCGGGAGUCUUACUGAGAGUUGAAGAAGGAACCUUAACUCUUCUGCGUGUCAGCUCCAGAAACUCAGGCCUCUAUAAAGCACAAAUCUUCACUGGAAGUAAUGUCUCUGAGAUGAAAGUUACGCUUGUUGUCAACAAACCAGCAUUUUCCUCCAGUACAGAGCCAACACAAACCUCCUCAAAACCUCCAAACUUCUCUGAAAGACACAGGCUAUACGUAUUACCUGCUCUAGUUGUAUUCAUCCUGGGGGUCUUAGGGGUUUAUUUGCUCCAUAUAUGGAAGAGGGCAAGUAUUCUUUUUUUUCUCUUUAUUGACAGAAAUUAGUUGCUAAUAUUCUAAUGAUCUAAGGCCGUAUUCACCAAAAAAUGUUGAGGCUAAAAGUGGCUCCUAUUGCAGAAACUUAGGUUUUGAUGAUUCUAUAUAUUAUAAUGAGAAAUGUUCUGCACAACAUUUUGUCGUUGAUGAAAGUAUUCAUUUUGAUUGAUUGUCUACAAUGUUUUUUCCAAAGAGAAGGAAUUAAAACUUUUAACUUGGUUACUGUUAAUUCAACACUUGUCAGUCAACAUUUAAAUCUGUUUAGCUCUGAGUGAAAAGUUGAAAAUUGAGUAUAUUUAUGUAAGGAUGAAAGUUAAUCUACGUUCAUUUUAAAACUAAAACCAGGAGCAGAACGAUUGUCUGAUUUAAAAUAGUGUGGUCUCUUUGAUUGUUAGUAAAAUUAUCUGCUUGUUUUUGAAUGUUUAAAAUAAUGUUAAAGAAUGUGGUUUACAUGUAUAAACCUGAAAUUGUGUAAAUGUAGAUUUGUCUUCAGCACCUUUUUAAUAUGAUUUGCAAUGUUAACUGUGUUUCUUUGUUAACUCUCAGGGAUGUGAUGCUGAAGCAGCCAGAGAUCCAGUGUGAAGCGCUUGCAUUCAGUGAAGAACACAAAUGAUUUAAACUAAAGCAAGAUGAAACAGCACUGACAAAUAUCAGAAGCACUGUGAGCAACGAGACAGUCAGAAGCUUUUUCAAUCUAUAAAUCGUCAUCAUGCACCAUGGGUUUACUGUAGUUACACAAACCACCAUGCAUUGUGUCAGAGAUGCGGGAUAUUCAGAUAGAAUUUUUUUAUAUUAUUCAUGUAGACUAUGACAUUUGUGCUUUAAUGCUAAAUGUGUUUAGACUGCUGUUUUUCAUACAAAUACCUAGAAACUAUUAAGUGACAUUUUUACCAUGGUAUUGAGGUGUUACGUGUGGUUUCAACUUUGGUUAUCAUGAUAUAAAUGUGUGCUAUAUGGAAGACAAAUGGUUAAUUUUAAUAAAAUUCAAAUAGAACAAUUACAUUUCACCAUAAAAAAAAAAUGUUGGAAUUUUUACAGAUGUUACAGUUUGGGAAUUUUUUUUUUUUUAGAUAUUUAUUUUGUUAAGGAGAAAUGACUGGUAAAGAAUUCAAAAUCGGGAAGUUUUUGUCAUGUGAUGUUCAAGAUUAAAAACCACAACUGUCUCAUUUCUGCAACUAUAGCUUAGGAGCAAAUCUGCCUUUAAACUUGAAAGAAGAUUUGAAAUUUAUCAUGAUUAUCGAUAUUGACUAAUAUAAACAUUUUUACUGUGAUCAUUUUUUUGGCCAUAUUGCCCAGUUCUAGUCUGAUCACAUGAGCUCUUUUUUGUCAGUUUUGAGGUCAGGUCCAGCAGUCACUGAUUGCUCUGGUCACACAGCUCUUGUGAUGUAGUUAAGCAGGCUGUAGCUUUACAUUUAGAAGUGCUUUCCAUUUUUAUGUGCAAUAUGAAUCAAAUGUCAUUGCCAUUUUACUGUAUGAAUGUACAUAAAAGUAUAUUAAUUCCUAAAUUAAAACUAAUUCUAGAUUUUGCUGUAUUUGUGCGCACUAGCUUUUAUGAAGAUAAUGUGUAUUUUCUUCAAUGUCUUUUGAUUUCUUGUCAAUGUCUCUUUAUAUUUUGAGGAAAUA
rnacentral:lncRNA from 12 species